rnacentral:lncRNA from 1 species
ACACAUCUAACCACUCUUCAGCUGAUAUCCACUUGCUGACAAAUGAAUCUCUCUGGCCCCUGGACUGUGCCCUGAAACACAGCUUAAAACAGCAGAAUGAACAGUAAUCCCAGAGAUCCUGAGAUGAGAAAAGGGUGUUUGACUUAUUCAAAGAAGACCAAGGAAGCCCAAAGACCAGAGAAGAGUGCAGGAAAGGGGCGGCGGUCUGAGAUGCAGUCAGAGCAGUGGCAAGCCCCCAGAGUCUGUGGCAAAGACUUCAGGUUUCAUCCUGAAGAGGAAGACAGGUCUUUGGAGAGUUUUGAUCAAGGAAGUGAGAUGAAAUAUCUUAGGCUUACAAAGAACUACUCUGACAUCUAAAUGGAAAAUGGACUGAUGAAGCAAAAGAAGCCACAAGGAAGCCAGUUCAGAGGCUAUUGAAAUGCUCCAGAUACUCAGAGAGUGAGAGCCUUCAGAUUUGGGUGAGUGAUGCCAUUAGAACCAAGAUUUCUUCCAUUCUUCUGCUCUAUCAUUCUCAGCACAACAUGCUUUUCUCAUUAAGGCCGCUGUGGUUCGUCUUCUGCCUGGGAACUGGAUAAAAACAUCAGUGAAUACCCCAAAGAUUUUCAAAAAUGCUUGUUGAUAAAAUGAAGUCAGAAUGUGAGAUGAGCCCUUCCACCUGAGUGAUGUUGGUCUUGGCUGUGUGAUUUGCUUUGGCUGAUGAUAAGUUGAUGGAAGUGAUAGUAAGACAAUGCUGAGCCUCAUCCUCGGAAGUAUCUCUGCCUUCACCUGGCUUUGUGCACCACUGCCCUGGCUUUGAGAAGAACAUGAGCCCAGUAAAUUGUUAGUCCAGGAAGAAUGAGAGAGAAAGUCCUGAGGCAGAGAAGUGGAGAGAAGUUGCUGCUUGAGCUUGAGAAAGAAUGGUGGCAGAGUACAUGCAUGGAAGUGCUACCAUAGCUGCUCUGAAAUCAGAGCCCUAUAUUAGGUAUUGAGGGUUC